CGCUUCACAGUAGGCUGCGGCGAACGGCACACCUCACGCACUCAUCGCGUAAUGUCAAAAUAACUUAGCACAAUCUGCCUGCCGCCACUUUGGCAGUGGAGAGCUGAAAAAUAAGGUAAUCAACACGGCGGUUCGCGAUUGCUAGCGGAAAUCUCGGUUGUAACUUUGCGGAUUAAAGGCAUGCGCCGGAAGUUUGUUGUGGCCCCAACCCGUAGCUAGGGACAACCGUCGUUGCUAGAAGUCGCUGUUCCACUACUUGUCUCGGAGAAUAAACAACGUGUGGAAGAUUCGCGCUGGAAGACCGUGGCAGCACGCAGUAGGAAGGAGGGUCCAUCAACGUGCUUCAUUAAUUCCGACCGACAUACCGACCGGGAACAACAGCAACAGCAUACCCUUCUUGAUUGGUGGGUCGUUCGGUUGCUAGUUGGGGAAAGUGCAGCAGCGGGAACCAGAGAUAGAGAGGGAAGGCGGAAGGUGAUGCAUCAAAAGGUUUCUUGUGUAUCGCUUUGCUUCCCAUUGAAAUUACCCCAGCCGGGAUGCGUGCGGACUCCUCACACAGCCUGGGAGUAACGGAGUUUGAGUGUGUGGGUACGUUUUGGGGUCCACUGCAACAGCAUCAGCUGCAGCGGUGAAUAAGUUGGAUCAUUGAUAAUAAUGUUUAGCAAUUGCACUCCACUGGGGAACCGAAAUGUUGUAUGAGC